UUUAAUAUAACUAGGAGUUUCUUAUAAUAAUACUUAGACACUGAAAACCAGUACAUUUGAAAUUAACUACUGAGGAGCAAUAGAGUAUGAGGAACUUUUUAAAGAAACCUGUUGAGAUUUUAGUACUUCUUAUUUGUUUUAUGCAACUAUAUUCAAUAAAGUACGAUUCCAUCACAGAUGAUGUAAAUAUCUUAUGCCCACAAAUUGUUAAUGAUUCUGUUAAAAAUGGUUUUCAUAAUCGCAUUGUGGCCUGUUCUUUUGUUGGAAAUAAUUGUAGCUAUGAACUACAAGGUUUUUUCAAAAGUGUAGACAUCCGGCUUCAAAAUGUUCUUAUUACUUCUUUAAAUUU